rnacentral:rRNA from 1 species
UAACACAUGCAAGUCGGGCGGCAGCAGGCCUUUCGGGGUGCUGGCGAGCGGCGGACGGGUGAGUAGUGCGUAGGAAUCUGCCCUGCAGUGGGGGAUAGCCCGGGGAAACCCGGAUUAAUACCGCAUACGCUCUGCGGAGCAAAGUGGGCCUCUGAUUUAAGCUCACGCUGUGGGAUGAGCCUACGUCGGAUUAGCUAGUCGGUGGGGUAAGGGCUCACCGAGGCGACGAUCCGUAGCUGGUCUGAGAGGAUGAUCAGCCACACUGGGACUGAGACACGGCCCAGACUCCUACGGGAGGCAGCAGUGGGGAAUAUUGGACAAUGGGCGCAAGCUUGAUCCAGCAAUGCCAUGUGUGUGAAGAAGGCCUUCGGGUUGUAAAGCACUUUAGGUGGGGAAGAAAAGCGCCGGUUGAACAAUCCGGCUGUGUUGACGGUACCCACAGAAUAAGCACCGGCUAACUUCGUGCCAGCAGCCG